UACGGAGAGUGCAAGCGUUGUUCGGAAUUACUGGGCGUAAAGCGUGUGUAGGCUGCUACAUAAGUCGGAUGUGAAAGCCCCGGGCUCAACCCGGGAAGUGCACUCGAUACUGCGUAGCUUGAGUCUCGGAGAGGUUGGUGGAAUUCUCGGUGUAGAGGUGAAAUUCGUAGAUAUCGAGAGGAACACCGGUGGCGAAGGCGGGUCUCUGGGCAACAACUGACGCUGAGGAGCGAAAGCGUGGGGAGCGAACAGG
rnacentral:rRNA from 1 species